UACGUAGGUGGCGAGCGUUGUCCGGAAUUACUGGGCGUAAAGGGUGCGCAGGCGGUUCAUUAAGUGGGAUGUGAAAUACCCGGGCUCAACUCGGGAAUGGCAUUUCAAACUGGUGAGCUAGAGUGCAGGAGAGGAAAGUGGAAUUCCCAGUGUAGCGGUGAAAUGCGUAGAGAUUGGGAGGAACACCAGUGGCGAAGGCGACUUUCUGGACUGUAACUGACGCUGAGGCACGAAAGUGUGGGGAGCAAAC
rnacentral:rRNA from 1 species